rnacentral:rRNA from 1 species
GGACGAACGCUGGCGGCGUGCUUAACACAUGCAAGUCGAACGGUAAGGCCCUUCGGGGUACACGAGUGGCGAACGGGUGAGUAACACGUGGGUGAUCUGCCCUGCACUUCGGGAUAAGCCUGGGAAACUGGGUCUAAUACCGGAUAGGACUCCUGGCUUCAUGGUUGGGGGUGUAAAGCUUUUGCGGUGUGGGAUGGGCCCGCGGCCUAUCAGCUUGUUGGUAGGGUAAUGGCCUACCAAGGCGACGACGGGUAGCCGGCCUGAGAGGGUGACCGGCCACACUGGGACUGAGAUACGGCCCAGACUCCUACGGGAGGCAGCAGUGGGGAAUAUUGCACAAUGGGCGCAAGCCUGAUGCAGCGACGCCGCGUGAGGGAUGACGGCCUUCGGGUUGUAAACCUCUUUCAAUAGGGACGAAGCGCAAGUGACGGUACCUAUAGAAGAAGGACCGGCCAACUACGUG